rnacentral:rRNA from 1 species
GGGUUGUGAGGUUAAGCGACUAAGCGUACACGGUGGAUGCCCUGGCAGUCAGAGGCGAUGAAGGACGUGCUAAUCUGCGAAAAGCGUCGGUAAGGUGAUAUGAACCGUUAUAACCGGCGAUGUCCGAAUGGGGAAACCCAGUGCAAUUCGUUGCACUAUCGUUAACUGAAUACAUAGGUUAACGAGGCGAACCGGGGGAACUGAAACAUCUAAGUACCCCGAGGAAAAGAAAUCAACCGAGAUUCCCCCAGUAGCGGCGAGCGAACGGGGAGCAGCCCAGAGUCUGAAUCAGCUUGUGUGUUAGUGGAACGGUCUGGAAAGUCCGACGGUACAGGGUGAUAGUCCCGUACACCAAAAUGCACAGGUUGUGAACUCGAAGAGUAGGGCGGGACACGUGGUAUCCUGUCUGAAUAUGGGGGGACCAUCCUCCAAGGCUAAAUACUCCUGACUGACCGAUAGUGAACCAGUACCGUGAGGGAAAGGCGAAAAGAACCCCGGCGAGGGGAGUGAAAAAGAACCUGAAACCGUGUACGUACAAGCAGUGGGAGCACCUUCGGGUGUGACUGCGUACCUUUUGUAUAAUGGGUCAGCGACUUAUAUUCUGUAGCAAGGUUAACCGUAUAGGGGAGCCGCAGGGAAACCGAGUCUUAACUGGGCGUUAAGUUGCAGGGUAUAGACCCGAAACCCGGUGAUCUAGCCAUGGGCAGGUUGAAGGUUGGGUAACACUAACUGGAGGACCGAACCGACUAAUGUUGAAAAAUUAGCGGAUGACUUGUGGCUGGGGGUGAAAGGCCAAUCAAACCGGGAGAUAGCUGGUUCUCCCCGAAAGCUAUUUAGGUAGCGCCUCGUGAAUUCAUCUUCGGGGGUAGAGCACUGUUUCGGCUAGGGGGUCAUCCCGACUUACCAACCCGAUGCAAACUACGAAUACCGAAGAAUGUUAUCACGGGAGACACACGGCGGGUGCUAACGUCCGUCGUGAAGAGGGAAACAACCCAGACCGCCAGCUAAGGUCCCAAAGUCAUGGUUAAGUGGGAAACGAUGUGGGAAGGCACAGACAGCCAGGAUGUUGGCUUAGAAGCAGCCAUCAUUUAAAGAAAGCGUAAUAGCUCACUGGUCGAGUCGGCCUGCGCGGAAGAUGUAACGGGGCUAAACCAUGCACCGAAGCUGCGGCAGCGACACUAUGUGUUGUUGGGUAGGGGAGCGUUCUGUAAGCCUGCGAAGGUGUGCUGUGAGGCAUGCUGGAGGUAUCAGAAGUGCGAAUGCUGACAUAAGUAACGAUAAAGCGGGUGAAAAGCCCGCUCGCCGGAAGACCAAGGGUUCCUGUCCAACGUUAAUCGGGGCAGGGUGAGUCGACCCCUAAGGCGAGGCCGAAAGGCGUAGUCGAUGGGAAACAGGUUAAUAUUCCUGUACUUGGUGUUACUGCGAAGGGGGGACGGAGAAGGCUAUGUUAGCCGGGCGACGGUUGUCCCGGUUUAAGCAUGUAGGCUGGUUGUCCAGGCAAAUCCGGAUAAUCAAGGCUGAGGUGUGAUGACGAGGCACUACGGUGCUGAAGUAACAAAUGCCCUGCUUCCAGGAAAAGCCUCUAAGCAUCAGGUAACAUCAAAUCGUACCCCAAACCGACACAGGUGGUCAGGUAGAGAAUACCAAGGCGCUUGAGAGAACUCGGGUGAAGGAACUAGGCAAAAUGGUGCCGUAACUUCGGGAGAAGGCACGCUGGUGUGUAGGUGAAGUCCCUGCGGAUGGAGCUGAGACCAGUCGAAGAUACCAGCUGGCUGCAACUGUUUAUUAAAAACACAGCAC